UGCAGACAUGGAGAGACACAGACACACGCGGAGAAGACCAUGUGACAACACAGGCAGAGAUGGGCGUGGUGCGUCUACACAGCAAGGGCUGUUCAAGGGUUGCUGGCAGCCAUCAGAAGCUAAGGUUGUAUUGUGAAUUUGUGGAUGUUCAGCAGUUCAACUGUGUAAUUGUGGAUGAAUUCUGAUGAAAUUUGGAGAGUGAGCUUGGGAGGACGUGGUAUAACAGUAUGACAUACAGAAAUAUGAGAAUUUUUCAUGGUGGCUUUAGUGAAGAAACAUGCCAAAUGCAUUUAAGGUGUCAUGAACUGGAAAAGGAACAGUGGUUUCUAAUGAGUAUAUGAGUCACCUGGAGAUUGCUGCUCUAAAAUGCAGACACAGGAAAGAGAAAGAAAGGAAAAUUUAGGAAAAUAAAGGAAAACUACCUUCCUAAAGGUCACUCACCAGUGUCAGAUGGAGUGAGAACUGGACCCAGGUCAGCUAAUUCUAAGCCCUGAACCCUUGUUUGAACAGCAGGAUUUCUCCCAUGCAUGGGUGAAACAUACAUUCAGUUAGAGCCCCAGUUGAAGUUCCCUGUAAUUGCAAAAGAGACCAAAGAGAGAACUGGUGUUAUGUCCGGACCGGAAAAGGCUGAGGAACAACUGCAAAAAUUACACACAUUCUGAAUGUUUAUUUAUACAAAUCCCUCCACCCACAUCUGUAACGUAAGCAAUGUGCAAAAAAGAAACUCUAUUUUUGAGCUAAGUGCCAAAGCAAUUAUUGUUAAUAAAGA